CUUUAAAUAUAGAACACAGGCACACUUUUUUUUUGCCUCUUGUUGGAUUUAUGUCAGCGUACGAAGUUGCAAAAAUAUAUUCCUUUAGCUUUUUAAAGCCGUUUGCAAAGAAAGUCAUUUGCAUAGUUUAAGACGACGUUGCAGCAAUAUACAUCAUUUCAGCAUGUUAAGAUUCAGGCAUGGUGCUUCCGACAGAUGAACACAAUUCUAUCUCCAUUUAAGUAGAAUUUUUUAAAAAGAAUUUUGCUACUAUAUUAGCAGCACACCAGGAUAUCAGCACAUUGGCAGUGUUCCCUUAUGCCUCUGCCUAACAAUCCCAAGUAUUUAAUGCAUUUAUUGCAUUCACACUUUGGAACCAUUUCCCGUCUCUGCCUCCUUUAUUUCUUUUUCCAUCUUGCUUCGUGUGGACUAAUCCCUGUUCCCCAUCUUCUGGGUUUUCAUCUGCACAAAGAAAGGGACAGUGAGUGUCCUCUAAACUGGUACCUUCUAGCUGGAUCACAUUAUCUUCCCGACAUCCCACAGUCAACACACCAGCUUGGAGACAACUAACCUAGAGAGUCCAAGGGCAAAUUAGCAAAUCAGACACAGCCCGCCUGUAGUUACGAUACCGCUGGGGUUUGAAGAUCACUGCUCUAGCAGAAGACAUUCGGAAAUGCUUUAAAUGAAAGCUUCUGAGUGACCUACCAUGACUUGCAGCUGCCUUCAGGUGAAUUCUAAUGGUCUACUUGACUUGGUGCAGGCAUUAAAAAAAAAUCUACCACUGACUGCUUUGACUUUCAAGAUACGGCCUUUAUAAAAAUAAGGUUUCUCUCAAACUAUAUUCGUGAUUACCAUCGAUUCAUCAUCAUCUCUCUUUCGCGGUGGUGGAUAUAAGAAGCCUAAGCUACAUGUAUUCUUACUUGUAUCUGAAAGGGACAAAUGGAGUACAAUGGAGAGGGAGAACUAUAAUCCUCUUUUGCGGGAAAGAAAGCCAACACGAUGGUCUUGGCAUAUUUUGAAAGCUGAACAUCUUCCUCUUUGGGUCUCAGUUCAGCGAUUAAUUUUUCUAAAGAGGUGCUCAUCCAUUUUCUGAGCUGCCUGAUCAAGCUGUCAAAAAUGGAUCUCAGAAGUAAUUAUUGCCAAGGAUAUUUUUCCUGUCCUUGUCAAAAUAUGUACAACAUAUUUAUGAUUUGUAGUCAAGAACGAGUAACUAUUUUUUCUUUUUAAACAUAAUUCUCUACUACUGGAAGGGUCAGAUAAUGACAGAAUGUUAUCAUGCUCAGUGACGAGACUAAUUUCUUUCAAGAACUUGUUGGGGUGUGGUGAUGGUGUGUGGGGAAGACCUUGGGAGACUGGGUCAAGAGAAGCUGCCAAGGGAAUGGUCAGAUAAGAGGUGGCAUAGCACA